UACGAAGGGAGCUAGCGUUGUUCGGAAUCACUGGGCGUAAAGCGCACGUAGGCGGAUUUGCCAGUCAGGGGUGAAAUCCCGGGGCUCAACCUCGGAACUGCCUUUGAUACAGCAAGUCUUGAGUUCGAGAGAGGUGGGUGGAAUUCCUAGUGUAGAGGUGAAAUUCGUAGAUAUUAGGAAGAACACCGGUGGCGAAGGCGGCCCACUGGCUCGACACUGACGCUGAGGUGCGAAAGCGUGGGGAGCAAACGGG
rnacentral:rRNA from 1 species